CUGUUUGUGCAGAGCAUUUAAUGCCGCCACGUGGCCGGCUGCCAAGUCCAUAACGUGAAUGUAAUCGCGGACGCCUGGAAAAGAGUAAAGCAGGUAAUCACCGCCGAAUAUGAUCAGCUCCGGCUUGUGCCUUAAAGCGACUUGAGCGAUAUACGGCAUCAGAUUUGUGAACGGCUUCGUCGGAUCCUCCCCGAUCAGUCCCGAUCGGUGAGCACCCACCGGAUUGAAGUAUCGUAAGGACACGAUGUUCCAACUCUAUUGAAACAAAAGAAAUCUCAAUCAGAGAAAAAUAGCAUAAAUUAGAAUAUUAAUAACAAAUGAAUUGACGAACAACACGAUUUUUUUUCUCAAAAGAGAAAAUUCAAAGUAGGAAAUUUAGCCUCUUGUUCUUAAUCUAGAAUAAAUUUAUAUAUGAAUGAACGAGCGCUACAUUAUUUUAUAUUAAAUAAAACUUUAAUCGUUAGCCUUGCUAAAUUGAAGUAAA